rnacentral:rRNA from 1 species
UACGAAGGGAGCGGGCGUUAUCCAUCAUGACUGGGCGUAUAGGGUUCGUAGGUGGUUUUUUUCUUUGUUUCAUACCAAAGACCAAGCAAGAGUUUGGAUCCGUAUAUUAUACAGUCUAACUAGAGGAAAACAAAAGAAAGUAGAAUGUCUGCAAGGAGGGAUGGUAUCCGGAGAUAUGCAAUGGAAUAUCAGUGUGCACAAGCGGCUUUCAAGUUUUUGCUGACGUUUGGGGAACUAAAGUGUGGGGAGCAAACAGG